UGUAAGCGUAUACCAAAGUUGGUGCAGUUAAAACGCUCGUAGUCGGAAUUUGGCAGUUCCGGAUGUGUGCACGUCGUGUGCGCACUUCGCGGGGAUUGCUUUUGUGGUCUUGCGUAGGAUGAGGCACUUUUAUUAGUGAACGUCCUCACGCAACCACUUUUUACUGUGAGAAAAUCAGAGUGCUCAAAGCAGGCAUUUGCCGUGAAUGUAUUAGCAUGGAAUAAUAGAAUAGGACUUGGUUCUAUUUUGUUGGUUUGUUGGGACUGAGUAAUGAUUAAGAGGGACAGUUGGGGGCAUUUGUAUUUCGGUGCUAGAGGUGAAAUUCUUAGAUUACCGAAAGACAAACUGCUGCGAAAGCGUCUGCCAAGGAUGUUUUCAUUGA
rnacentral:rRNA from 1 species